rnacentral:rRNA from 1 species
UUGGUUAAGUUAGAAAGGGCGCACGGUGGAUGCCUUGGCACUAGGAGCCGAAGAAGGACGGGACUAACACCGAUAUGCUUUGGGGAGCUGUACGUAAGCGUUGAUCCAGAGAUUUCCGAAUGGGGGAACCCACUAUCUUUAGUCGGAUAGUAUCCUUACGUGAAUACAUAGCGUGAGGAAGGCAGACCCAGGGAACUGAAACAUCUAAGUACCUGGAGGAAGAGAAAGAAAAAUCGAUUUCCUGAGUAGCGGCGAGCGAAACGGAAAGAGCCCAAACCAAGAAGCUUGCUUCUUGGGGUUGUAGGACACUCUAUACGGAGUUACAAAAGAAAGUUAUAAAUGAAGCGGUCUGGAAAGGCCCGCCAAAGACGGUAACAGCCCGGUAGUUGAAAUGGCUUUCCCUCCAGAGUGGAUCCUGAGUACGGCGGAACACGUGAAAUUCCGUCGGAAUCCGGGAGGACCAUCUCCCAAGGCUAAAUACUCCCUAGUGACCGAUAGUGAACCAGUACCGUGAGGGAAAGGUGAAAAGCACCCCGGAAGGGGAGUGAAACAGUUCCUGAAACCGUGUGCCUACAAGUAGUUAGAGCCCGUUAAUGGGUGAUAGCGUGCCUUUUGUAGAAUGAACCGGCGAGUUACGAUUUGUUGCAAGGUUAAGCGGAAAAAGCGGAGCCGUAGCGAAAGCGAGUCUGAAUAGGGCGCAUAAGUAACAGGUCGUAGACCCGAAACCAGGUGAUCUACCCAU